rnacentral:rRNA from 1 species
UACGAAGGGGGCUAGCGUUGCUCGGAAUCACUGGGCGUAAAGCGCACGUAGGCGGCUUAUUAAGUCAGAGGUGAAAUCCUGGAGCUCAACUCCAGAACUGCCUUUGAUACUGAUGAGCUUGAGUUCGGGAGAGGUGAGUGGAACUGCGAGUGUAGAGGUGAAAAUUCGUAGAUAUUCGCAAGAACACCAGUGGCGAAGGCGGCUCACUGGCCCGAUACUGACGCUGAGGUGCGAAAGCGUGGGGAGCAAACAGGG